rnacentral:rRNA from 1 species
CAGCCGCCACGGGAAUACAGAGGGUGCAAGCGUUAAUCGGAAUUACUGGGCGUAAAGCGCGCGUAGGUGGUUUGUUAAGUUGGAUGUGAAAUCCCCGGGCUCAACCUGGGAACUGCAUCCAAAACUGGCAAGCUAGAGUAUGGUAGAGGGUGGUGGAAUUUCCUGUGUAGCGGUGAAAUGCGUAGAUAUAGGAAGGAACACCAGUGGCGAAGGCGACCACCUGGACUGAUACUGACACUGAGGUGCGAAAGCGUGGGGAGCAAACAGGAUUAGAUACCCCAGUAGUCCCUGUCUCUUAUAA